GCAAGCCCUCAAAUCAUUCCCCAGGAUGAAAAUGACACGGAGCUGACAUAAUAUCUGAGGUGAGAUGGAACUGAAAUCCUCAGCACCUGAACACUUCACCUACUGAUGGGUAACCUGACCCUAACCAAUCUUAUAAUCAUACCCAUGUCAGGGGGGAAGCUGCAUUUCCAGGAGCAGAAGCUUCCAAUGUCCCAUGGGGAACUCCAGAGCCCAGGGAAAGUGCAAAAAGGCAGGAAUGGACUUCCAGUGGGAUGAGGAGGCUGGAGAAAAUCUCCUUCCAUAUCACACCUUGGUCACAUCACUCAGCCCUGCUGGGAGCUCCAGGAGGUGAGAAAUGUCACCAAUGCAGAAGGGGAAAGAGCCAGUGCAUUUCAUGCUGCUGUCCCCCAGGUUUGCUGCUGUCCCUCAGAUGUUUUGCCAUCCAGUUUGGGCACUCCAGGAAGAAUUUGCUGCAUCACAAGCUGGAAGCACUGAGGAGUCCAGAGCUGCUUUCCUGAAGACCAAUAUUUUUUAUUGUCUUCUGCCCAAUUAAUGCAGUAACCAAUCCAGGAGCCUUUAUUUCCCCAUUUGACAUCUUACACUGGCAAGAAAAGCUGAAAUCUCUUGAAAUUCAGAAUGCUGAGAAGUGAAUGUGAGAGAGACUACUCUGUUUUCAUUUCCCAAGGAUCAGCUUGAAAGGACACUCGAGUGAAUUCAAGCAUUGGCAUUUGCUCUUCCUGGACUGGAUCAGCACAAGUUCAUCAGAACAUGCCCAGGAUUCCUGUUCCUGAUGGCUCCACAGUGCAGGAUCUUCUCUUGCCAAGAAGGAGCCCUGCUGGAGAAGGCUUCACAUCCAGGCUGUCACUGCAGCUGCUGCCAGCAGCACCCCCUGCACAGGAGCAGAAAGUCACUGCUGCCACCAGGAGCAGGCACCUGGAACCCCAAAGCUGUGCUCCAGCAGCUCCCAGGAACAGGGCACUGCAGCCUGUCCCUCUUCAGGCACAUUCCAAAUGGAGCAGAGCACAAAAGGACCCAUCCCAGGCCAUUCCCACAGAUGGAAUGAGUGUUGGGAGAGCUGCAGAGAUCCAGAGAGGAGCUGCUUGUGGAGAGCUCUCAGGAAUCUCAGCCUUUUCCCAGUGUUUAUUUCUUUCAGUAAUUUCUUCUUCAAAACAAAUCAAAGUGAAAAUCUAAAGCAUUUUAUAUAGGUCAAACUUACCAAACUUUUGGAAAGUGCAUUCUGGGAGUCCAUUUGUCUCUGAAGAACUGCUGCAGCCAUGGAGCUGCAGACACCAGCUGGGCUCAGCACCGGGGAAGAGUUUGGAGAAGGGUUUGGAUCAGCCCCAGCCGCCCCCUGCCCUCAGGUAACACAUCUCAAAAAGCUCUGAAAACAAAGCAAAAGUGAUGCUUGGAUUUAUGGGCUGAAAGAGCUGCAUUGAUCAGGCCAGAAUCGAUGAGACCAGUGUUAUAUUGGGUUAUUUCAGGAGAAUUUGGUUAAAAUUAAGCAUGGAAAGACAAUGCACUCCUGCACGAGGC